rnacentral:rRNA from 1 species
GAUAAACGCUGGCGGCGUGCCUAAUACAUGCAAGUCGAGCGAAUGGAUUGAGAGCUUGCUCUUAUGAAGUUAGCGGCGGACGGGUGAGUAACACGUGGGUAACCUGCCCACAAGACUGGGAUAACUCCGGGAAACCGGGGCUAAUACCGGAUAACAUUUUGAACCGCAUGGUUCGAAAUUGAAAGGCGGCUUCGGCUGUCACUUAUGGAUGGACCCGCGGCGCAUUAGCUAGUUGGUGAGGUAACGGCUCACCAAGGCAACGAUGCGUAGCCGACCUGAGAGGGUGAUCGGCCACACUGGGACUGAGACACGGCCCAGACUCCUACGGGAGGCAGCAGUAGGGAAUCUUCCGCAAUGGACGAAAGUCUGACGGAGCAACGCCGCGUGAGUGAUGAAGGCUUUCGGGUCGUAAAACUCUGUUGUUAGGGAAGAACAAGUGCUAGUUGAAUAAGCUGGCACCUUGACGGUACCUAACCAGAAAGCCACGGCUAACUACGUGCCAGCAGCCGCGGUAA